GGGGAUAACAGGCUUAUCUCCCCCAAGAGUCCACAUCGACGGGGAGGUUUGGCACCUCGAUGUCGGCUCAUCGCAUCCUGGGGCUGUAGUCGGUCCCAAGGGUUGGGCUGUUCGCCCAUUAAAGCGGUACGCGAGCUGGGUUCAGAACGUCGUGAGACAGUUCGGUCCCUAUCCGUCGCGGGCGCAGGAAAUUUGAGAGGAGCUGUCCUUAGUACGAGAGGACCGGGAUGGACGCACCGCUGGUGUACCAGUUGUUCUGCCAAGGGCAUCGCUGGGUAGCUAUGUGCGGACGGGAUAAGUGCUGAAAGCAUCUAAGCAUGAAGCCCCCCUCAAGAUGAGAUUUCCCAUUCCGCAAGGAAGUAAGAUCCCUGAAAGAUGAUCAGGUUGAUAGGUCUGAGGUGGAAGUGUGGCGACACAUGGAGCUGACAGAUACUAAUCGAUCGAGGACUUAACCAUUUU
rnacentral:rRNA from 1 species